rnacentral:rRNA from 1 species
UACGUAGGGGGCGAGCGUUGUCCGGAUUUAUUGGGCGUAAAGAGCGUGUAGGCGGCCAGGUAGGUCUGCUGUGAGAACUCGAGGCUCAACCUCGAGACGUCGGCAGAAACCAUCUGGCUAGAGUCCGGAAGAGGAGAGUGGAAUUCCUGGUGUAGCGGUGAAAUGCGCAGAUAUCAGGAAGAACACCCGUGGCGAAGGCGGCUCUCUGGGACGGUACUGACGCUGAGACGCGAAAGCGUGGGGAGCGAACAGG